UUUUUACAUAGUGGUCUGUUGUAUGUGAAGCAUUCGUUAGCACUUUUGCCCUCGUAACAAAACAUUUGAACCUAACAGCGCCGACGAGAACCUCCAGCAUUUGACACAGGCAAGUUAGCGUUGGCAUUCUUAUUUUCAACGUACUCUUCGGCAAGUUCUUCGCCUAGCUUGAAAAGAAAAUCACGUCUUGAUAUCUUUUGUUUUGUAACUUCUUUGUACAAGACCCAAGCAUUGAUUCCCGCCAAAUCCAGAAUAUUAAAAAAUGAAUGAACAGGCCAUCUUCUACUAGCACUUUUCAAGGAGUAUUUUCUACAUAUUUGGUCAACUACAUCAACUCAGUUCUUGGUCAAGUUGUAAAAUGACCCAGUUUCAGGCUUUGAUUUUUUAUCGUUUCCAGUUCUUAUAUCACGAUGCAUUGAGCUCAGUAAAACGACAUUUUUUUUAGUUUUUCCUUGAUAGACUGUGAGAGCUGUGUCAUCGCUUUUGAACGCUUUGGUAAAGUAAAGUUUCUUUUUGGCUUUCUUUACGCAGAUCGGCACUUCCCUUCUAGCCUUGUUGACUGUGCCAGCUAUGUAAUGAGUUUUAUGAUGUCUGCUUUAUAACUUGUACGUCUGUUGCUUUCUAGUCCUCAAGCACGUCUGCUCAACGAUAAUGUAUUUAGAAGGUUGAUUUUUAUCGCUUUUGCUGGGCGACAUUGUGGGGGACAUCUGUCACUCUCUGCAUACACAUUUCACUACCCCGCACCAGCCCUCCCCGAUUUUUAUACCGGAGCCCCCGGAAGAGAAAUGUCAAGUCGAGAAAUGUCAUUUUGCUCUGAACAACUUCACCUUGUCAUUUAUAACACCUUGCGUCUGCUGGAUCAUUCCCCAAGCAGCCAGAGCUGUCAUAUGCCAGUGUUGCCAGCAACCUUGCUUUUACAAAUUAAGCUAGUUUUUUUUUUAUUUCAAAACAUUUGCUAAUUCUAAUGAGGUGAAAGAAUUAUCACAUGUUACGUUCCUUCCUCUGUUUAAGUACGGAUCUACUAACUUUUUGACUACAAAAUCUCCAAGUCUCUCCUCUGCAGGACGUUCAUCAUUUUUUCCGAGACAAGGAAAUAUAUUGACUACAUAUUUAGAAUCUACGUCAACAGCCAUCCAAUACUUUUGCCCGUACUUACCCGGCUUCGAUGCCAUAAACUGCGUAAAUGGGCAUCUUGUCUUGGAUGGAAACAAUUGUUCAUCGACAUAAAUGUGAGGACCCGGUGCGUAAUUGGUUUGACAGUUUGAAACAAAUCUUGAAAACACAUCUGAUGUUAGGGCAAAUUUGUCGGUUUGCAAUCGUUGCGAUCGUGUGAAUUUUUCGUCAAAUCUCACAAUCCGAGGUAUCCGACAGACAGCGACAAUCUCUCCGGGUCGUAAACCAGGCUGGCGCGUCAUAUUGAGAUGGUGCACAAAUAAAUAUUGCACCUUGCAAACACUUGCAAUGUCCUAAGUGCACCAGGCAAACUGCUGCAUCAUUGCGCCGUUGUUCGGAAAGCAUACACAGCGACCAAGCAAACCGGCAAUCGAAACGUGUAGGCUACUUGUUUAGACCUGCAAGUAUUGUGCGGGGGUUCCCAAUACGAUCUAGCCACUAGUUGAGGCUUUGGGUGGAGAGCGGAGGAUAGGGACACUCAGACGAACCAGUGCUACUAAUAAAAUUGCAGUAGAGUGUACGGUAGAGUGCUUAUAUAGACUAGCCGAUUGAAUAUAGCGAAAACAUAAGCACGUAGUAAGCAAGAGUAAAAGCACGUAUGCAGUGGCGCGUUAAACGGUGGGAGGAUUGGGCGGCUGCCAGGGGCCCCGGCGAUGUAGGGGCCCCGUCAUUGUGGAUGUUCUACUUCGUAUCGAUUCUACCCCCCCCCCCCCCCCCCUCUGGAUGGGACUUUUACCAUCUAUUUGAAAAAGACUAAUUUUUAAUUCAUUCAUUUUUCCCAUCGCUUCACUCACUGUAUAUUGGCGAGCGAGACUGCAGAAAACCGGGGCCCUAUACUACUCAAAGCAGCACAUUAAAGGUUCUAUGAAAUCUGCCAAUACUUGCAUCAAAGUCGCAAGCGAAGAACGCUGCGUCACGCGCGCACAGCUCAAAUCAAUACCACAUCAUCGUUGGCGCACAGUAUUAAACAGAGCGAGAAACCGUCAGAGCAACUUGCUGCUAAAAUGGAAUGCACAGAACGCUGCGCUUAACAACCACCGAAAACCUGUUACACACACUUAAAAAUAUUUCACGAUCUCGGUUAAAAAAACUGCCGACAUUCGUCGGCUCUUUCGAUUCUUGCUGAUAUGUCAGUUGAAAAUUUCCCAUUGCCGAUCAGUACCAUUUAAAACUGAAAUAUCAGUUAAACAAAUAUUUUAACCGAAACUCGGCAACACAACAUACCGAUUACGUACGUUAAAACUGCUGUCACCGAGGUCAUCCGUCAAAAUAACCGAAAUUUCGGCUAUGCUAUUUGAGUUAGCCGAGGCUCAGUUUUCUAUCUGUCAUUCAUCAUUUUGUCGAUGCAGAAACCUUUCGGAGUGAUUUUGUGUUAUAAAAUUAAUAGUGUGAAAAAUAAAUGAAAAUAUGACACCCAGCGUGAAGAAACCGAUCAUCAGUAGCGUACGAUCGGACACGGGUGGGCUACGAAGCUCUGUCAACGCACGUAGCCAGUGCACAUAAGAUCGUCGCUCGAAGCAGUCCUUAUCCAAGGAUUACCGGAUGCUAGUCCGAUUGGACCAACCUUUGCCGGCCCGUUCGGACUUCCAGGUUUCAUUUCCAGUUACCUUUACGAGAACCGUGUCUGUACCGGUUAUAUAUAGUGCCGGUGUAUAUAUUUCGGUCUGUGCGACCGAAAUUCUCUCAGCAGUAACCGUUGCCGUGGUGGUGGUGUACUCAUUGCCUGCUCUUCCGUGCUGAACACGUCAACUUUAUCACUGCCGUUCGACUCGCUGGAGUCUGUUUGGACAAUUGUUAAGCUUCAAAACCUUGCAAUCUAUAUCGGCGCCGUUUACAUUCCACCCGAUCUGCGUUCUUCCGAAGAAGUCCUUGACGAUUUGCAUGAGAGUGUUAGUUUCGUUGCUGGCAAACUUAAAUCAAAUGAUCUUAUGGUGUUACUUGGUGAUUUUAAUUCACCAUCACUCUCCUGGCAACCGUUUGCAUCGUGCGUUAAUCACUUCAUUCCUACUGGUGUAUCUCGUGAAAAUGUUUCUCUGCUUGAUGGAAUGUUGGUAAACGGUUUGCUGCAAUUAUCUGGCAUAAAAAAUAUACGCGGAAGUCAAUUGGACCUUUUAUUUGCCAAUGCUGCCAAUGCUAUGCCUUCUUGGAGCGCUGCUCCCCCGUCAUAGCUUCACCUGUUCCACUCGUCGCGCUAGACAAUCAUCAUCCUGCUCAUGAGGCAAGUGUGCUCCUUACGCACUCUCGCCCUGCAUCCUCUCAACGAAUACCUACGGCUCGUAUGUUCAAUUUUAGGAAACUGGACUACCAAAAGCUUCAUCAUAUUUUAGCCGGUGCCGAUUGGUCCUUUACUGAUGCUGACUGUGACAUAAAUCAAGCUGUAGCAGCGUUUACUAAUGUAAUCACUUCCGCCUUCCCUUCCUGCUGUCCUCUCCUAUCCUGUCUACCGAUCCCGUCUUCGCUCCUUUUCCGUACCAUAAACUCCUUCCUACUCCUUCGUGAAUAAUUGUAUACUAUAGUCAGUAAGCACUAUUGCUGUAACCCAACGUGGCCGAGCAAUUAAUAAAAUAAAAAUAAA